rnacentral:rRNA from 1 species
CACCCGAUAGAACAUUAUGCCUGGAAUGGUUUAUGUUUCAAAUAAUUUAUUGCCGUAGGAUGGGACUGCGGCCUAUCAGUUUGUUGGUGAGGUAAUGGCCCACCAAGACUAUUACAGGUACGGGCUCUGAGAGGAGUAGCCCGGAGAUGGGUACUGAGACACGGACCCAGGCCCUAUGGGGCGCAGCAGGCGAGAAAACUUUGCAAUGUGCGAAAGCACGACAAGGUUAAUCCGAGUGGUUUCUGCUAAAGGAACCUUUUGUCAGUCCUAGAAACACUGAUGAAUAAGGGGUGGGCAAGUUCUGGUGUCAGCCGCCGCGGUAAAACCAGCACCUCAAGUGGUCAGGAUGAUUAUUGGGCCUAAAGCAUCCGUAGCCUGCUUUGUAAGUUUUCGGUUAAAUCCAUACGCUCAACGUAUGGGCUGCCGGGAAUACUGCAAAGCUAGGGAGUGGGAGAGGUAGACGGUACUCGGUAGGAAGGGGUAAAAUCCUUUGAUCUAUUGAUGACCACCUGUGGCGAAGGCGGUCUACCAGAACACGUCCGACGGUGAGGGAUGAAAGCUGGGGGAGCAAACCGGAUUAGAUACCCGGGUAGUCCCAGCUGUAAACUAUGCAAACUCAGUGAUGCAUUGGCUUGAUGCCAAUGCAGUGCUGCAGGGAAGCCGUUAAGUU